GAUGAACGCUGGCGGCGUGCCUAAUACAUGCAAGUCGAGCGAACGGACGAGAAGCUUGCUUCUCUGAUGUUAGCGGCGGACGGGUGAGUAACACGUGGAUAACCUACCUAUAAGACUGGGAUAACUUCGGGAAACCGGAGCUAAUACCGGAUAAUAUUUUGAACCGCAUGGUUCAAAAGUAAAAGACGGUCUUGCUGUCACUUAUAGAUGGAUCCGCGCUGCAUUAGCUAGUUGGUAAGGUAACGGCUUACCAAGGCAACGAUGCAUAGCCGACCUGAGAGGGUGAUCGGCCACACUGGAACUGAGACACGGUCCAGACUCCUACGGGAGGCAGCAGUAGGGAAUCUUCCGCAAUGGGCGAAAGCCUGACGGAGCAACGCCGCGUGAGUGAUGAAGGUCUUCGGAUCGUAAAACUCUGUUAUUAGGGAAGAACAUAUGUGUAAGUAGCUGUGCACAUCUUGACGGUACCUAAUCAGAAAGCCACGGCUAACUACGUG
rnacentral:rRNA from 1 species